UACGAAGGGGGCUAGCGUUGCUCGGAAUCACUGGGCGUAAAGCGCACGUAGGCGGCUUUUUAAGUCAGGGGUGAAAUCCUGGAGCUCAACUCCAGAACUGCCUUUGAUACUGGGAAGCUCGAGUCCGGGAGAGGUGAGUGGAACUCCGAGUGUAGAGGUGAAAUUCGUAGAUAUUCGGAAGAACACCAGUGGCGAAGGCGGCUACUCUGGACCGAUACUGACGCUGAGACGCGAAAGCGUGGGGAGCAAACAGG
rnacentral:rRNA from 1 species